CCUGUAUCCUGAUAUUGUUGUUGUUGUUAUCAUAAUACCAGUCUACUUUUCACAAAAACUUUUCCCAUCAUGCUACCGGCUCGGAAAUGGUGACCUCUCGACCUGAACUACGAACAUUAACAGCACAAAUGACAGCCGGACACAGGUGCUCCCGGAUAGUGGUACCAGAGACAUCAGGCACGGCAACAGCAAGGGCCUCAUUUAACACCAGUAAGCUGUCUACACGCCCCAGCUUUUGGUGUCUCGCAGCACAUUUGGGAACUCUGCAGCCCACACCUGUUGUUGUCUGAGAACAUCCAUCCAGCCUUUCGUCCUGAACUCCUCCCCGAUCAGGACUAAGGUUCUAAUACAUGAAGAGAGGGGAUCUUCGUUCCUCAUCAUCGUCAACUUGACCCUUUCCUCAUCUCCCCCAGUGUUGCUGAUUUUGGGGCCAACAAAAGGAAUGUACACGAAUCUACGAAGAUCCCUGCAGCUUCUUCUUGGACCUUGCCGACGAUUGUCGUCCCACGUCUCGUCCUAAGGUUUGGACUUCGCUCGAACUCCAGCUGUUUUCUGACGAGGAGUUCCUGAAAUGCUGUGUCACUUAUGGAGCACCUUAGCCCUGCCCAGUCUUGGUCCCCCAUGGUUCUGUUUGCGUAUUUGACAAAUCGGUCUUUUUUCGCAUCGACUGGGAUGUACCUGAUCCUGUGAUGUGAAACAGAUUGGCAUAUUGUUAUUGCACAAGUUCACUUUUAAAUUCAGCUUGUAUAAUUUCUUAUUUUGAGGCAUUUGUUUUGUUCUGACUGUGGUAGAGCUAGUUGACUUAUUCAGUGGUUACAAAUGAACUAGGUCUAGUUGAAGGGACCUGAGUAGUGCAUGAAAAUGGAGUUUGGUAUAAAAACAAUUGCUCUUCCUCCGUGUGUUUCUGCAAAUUGUUGGUACCAGACAGCAUAAUGGUACUUGUUAGAGUUUCCUUAUGCAUUGUGAUAAUAGUUGGCAUGUAGGUUAUGAUCUGUGUAAAAUGUAGGUUCUGGAACUGUACAGAAUAUGAAACAAUUCUGACAAUCUUUCUGAAGAUAGGAACAGCAGCUUUUAGCUUGUACAAAUUUGUAGGUAGCCUAAAAAGAGACACAGUGAAAUGCAAAUUUUGCAAGUUAGAUCAUUUGCUCACACUCACACUCACACACAGUGUCACACUCACACUCAUUAUCCGGUUUGACAUCACUCUGUUCCCCAUGUGCUCUCCUGGUGACCCCCAACCUAAACCAUAACAGACAAAGGUCUAUUUACAGUUCAACACCUCCAUUACUCAAAGUCUGUGCUAAGACUAGUUGUGAGCUCUGACCUACCCAUAUUCUAUCAUUACAUGUUUAGCCACCAACAAAGUGGGAUAAUUCAGCAAAAAGGGGAAUAAUUGGUCAGGAAGGAUAACAUUUCCAGGCCUUGAAGGCCCAUGGAAAGUCGCAAUAUUCACUGUGCACUACAUUAAAUUAUUUUUAUAUUUAGCUAUGUAAUAGGUGCAGCCAAGAAGCUAUAUAUUAAUCAAGGGUUAAUGACCUGCCCCAAGGUGUACAUGGUGUCAUAACGCCCGGUCCUUUGCUUUAACCACCAAAUAAAACCACCGAGUGACGAUUCAUUCUGGCUAAUCAGAGGAGCGAUACACACCGGCCUGGCCGGGCCAAGACUCAUUACAGGAAGCUGGGUCCAUCUUGAGAAGAAGUUUAUCAUCUACAGCCUUCAUAAGAAUGAAGACUAUGAUAUGAACUCAAUUUCAUGGUAAAAAAAAACAACAUGUACAGAUCUCAUGACAUACAUGUAUGUUGAAAUAGUCUUCCUAAUAGAAACUUAUUAACAUUUGCUACAAUUCUAUAUUGGUCAAAGAGUUAGAUUUAGGGCUGUUGUUUCAGAAUUGACUAUCAUAAAAACAUAAAGUCAAAUGCACAAAACUGAUGAUCAUUGGCAAAAAAUGUUUGUUUCCACUAUUAACCUUAAUGUUUAUUUAUUCAUUUACUAUUGCUAGUGGUCUAAACACACUUCUCCCAUUAAAUGCCUCCACUUUGUCAUGUUCCAAACAAACUUCAUACAUUGUAAGCCCUGUAGUGCGCUACUAGUCUAUUGUCUAAAUAAAAUAGAGAUCAGAUGACAUCCACAUACACUCACCAAAGCACAGCUGAAUAGUACAUUGUGUCCCUUCAUGGGUCGUUAGUACUAGCUGUAACAUGAUUACAAAUUCCCCUUUUUCCAUUUACAACAUGCCAAUUACAAUUAAAUCCAUCUCAUUAUGUUAAUCUUCACCGAUAUAUGUGCCAAAAACAAUUACAAUUCAACAACCCCUGCUCGAGUAGUACCCUUCCAAUUGUAACAACAAAACAAACUACUUCAGUUCAAAAGAAUCCAGCAGGAGGCCCAAACGUAGGACAGGCCUACAAAGAGUGAUUAAAUCAGGCUAAACCUUGGUGAGGAUAAUAAUUCCUGCUGUUGGAAUGAGUACCCAUCAAAGUUGCAUCUUUUCAUCGUAAAGGGUAAUUUAUAGUGAAACUUAACUCUAUGUAGUAUGUUACUAAGUAACAAACACUGAAAAGUUGGGACUUACCCAACAUGCAUCUCUAGAUUGCAUAAGUUUAUAACCUACCCUUUCUUCUGGUCAUGGCAUGUGAUGUGCACUAAGUGACCGGCAUGAUCUCCUGUUACCUGUUAAGAUGGGAGACACUGUUAGUUCAAAGUACAAAAUCAUAAAUCUGGUUGCAGAGGGACUGAGAUAGAUUGUGUUCACAUUCAAGAUAGAAUUAUUUCCACCAAGACAAUUUCCAUGGUAAUGAAAAUUUGACCAAAGCUUCUUGGUAAGUGAUACAAAUCUACCACAUUAGUGUCACUUUACUACACCAGUGCACUUCUUAACUGCAGGAAUGAAUGUGUUUGCUGUGAUGUCGUGUUUUGCUGCUUCAGUUCUUAUUACAACAUUCCCGUACAUCUAUUUUGAAACUGUAAUUAGCUAUCUUUUUUUUACCCAGCUUUUUUGCGACUUAUCUUGCUAUUUUUGCAGUUUGUGGAGGAUGUAAAAUUUAAAACAUUUAAUAGAAGUACCAGACUGUUAGCUA